GACGAACGCUGGCGGCGUGCUUAACACAUGCAAGUCGAGCGGUAAGGCCCUUUCGGGGGUACACGAGCGGCGAACGGGUGAGUAACACGUGGGUGACCUGCCCUCAGCUCUGGGAUAAGCCUGGGAAACCGGGUCUAAUACCGGAUAUGACUCCAUGACGCAUGUUGUGGGGUGGAAAGCCUUGUGCGGCUGAGGAUGGGCCCGCGGCCUAUCAGCUUGUUGGUGGGGUGAUGGCCUACCAAGGCGACGACGGGUAGCCGGCCUGNGAGGGCGACCGGCCACACUGGGACUGAGACACGGCCCAGACUCCUACGGGAGGCAGCAGUGGGGAAUCUUGCGCAAUGGGCGAAAGCCUGACGCAGCGACGCCGCGUGA
rnacentral:rRNA from 1 species